CCUCGCCGGUCGCUCCCCCCCAGCCGGCGCCCACUAGCUGCUUGCGUGGAGGGGAGCUUCUCCGAUGGCGACGGCGACCACCAUCCAGGCCUCCUUGCUCACCUUGGAGAUGCAGAGGAGGAGGAGCCGCGCCUGCGGGAGCUCUCCACGGAGGAGGAGAUUUCGUGGCGGUGGUGCGGAGCGUACGGCAGUGGAGGGGCUGGAGAGACCGGGCCCACAUCGCUGAAGCAGUGGGCGUGGAGCAGGGGAGGAUGAGGGCGAUGGGCAUGAGGGAAGGAGCAGCGAGGUCGGAGUUCCAGGGGAUGCCGGCCGUCGUCACAUGUCCCCAGUAUCUGAGGAACAAAAAGAAGGGGAUGAAUCUUGAGGAAGAGCUUGGCUAAGAACAAGAUCUGAGGAACAAAAAUAAGGGGAUGAAUCUUGAGGAAGAGCUUGGAUAAGAACAAGGUGUUCGUAAUGGCAACGGUUGUAAUCAACGAUGAGAAAAAGGGACUGAGAUUGGAUUUGUACUAGGCAUGUUCCUCAUCUCUCUCAGUCCUUGUUCCUAUCCCCACCCUGAUGUAACUGUUUCUUCACAACUGUUGGAUGUGUCUUAGGAGAUAAAUGCCAUGAAUUGUUUAGAUUCUUGUUGAGCUAACCACUAACAAAUUGUUUGUCCCCUUGUUAAAGCUAAUCAUAGUAAUAUCUGGUAAUCGUCCCAGUCAAAAAAAAAUAUCUGGUAAUCGUCCGGCUGAUGUGUAUGGUGGCAACCAAAUUCAUGUUGAUGAACUGAAUCAAAUCUGUAGUAAAGUUAGUGUUAAAUCACACAUGUGUACAUUCAGGUUCAAUACACUCGAGCAGUUUUGUCACAUCUGUGGAUUUAGUAUGACAAGAAAAUUACUUGGAAACCCUCUUCUUCACGUCCAGCGGCCGACGCAGCUCUCGUGCCCUCCCAGCGCUGCCGGUCGGGAGCUUCUCCAUCCUACGCCGCUGCCUCGUAUCGGCUGUGCGAAGGAGGGCGGCGAGCAGCAGGAGCUCACCGCAUGGAGAGUGCCAACGGGGCCGCCGCCGAUGGGAAGUGCGAACAGAGAAAGGAUGUGGUCGUCGCCAUCGCAAGAAGGUUCAUGGUUUUACUCCUGGAGUGGUGUAUUCCUUGAUGAUAUGUUGAUGCGGUCCGCUUGGUGUUCUUGUUUGCUGUUCUUACUUGACAAUAGAGAAAAGAAAUAUCAUCUUUGAAAUGCUUGGAAUCGAUAGAUCAUUCAUGCCGUGGUUGGAUGCAAAUUAAGAACUAUUGGCAUCAGUGAAGAUUUGGGCAGUAGCUAGGGAGGGAUUGCUGGAGUGGAAACAUGGCAAGAACCGGAAAGAGCUCAAGAUUUUGCUACUACCUUGCUAAUAAAUUUGUGAGGUUGCUUUAUGGAAGUAUUUACAGGCUUGCCAUGACAAGGAAUGCAUCAAUAAUCUUGGUAUAAAAUUUAUUUGGAUGGUUCAGAACCUUCAGAUGGCAUGGCUGAGAUAUAGUUUGUUGUAUUCAGUUUUUUUUUCAUCGUCACAGGUUAUAUGAUUUGUACAUGGCGGUGUUACUGAACAGAAGGAGAUAGAACAUGAUGAUCCUCUCUUAAUUUGGUUUCUCCUCCGCUGAAGAAUAUAGGAAUCACCAGCAGCCCUUCUCUAGUUCCGAGGAAGUGCUCAACCUAGACGUUGUUGGCCGAAGGAGGGGCGGAGCAGGUGCCAGUCAAGUAGGCGGCUCAAUGGGUGGGAGAUGGCAGCUGCCGAUCUCACACGGCUCAUGCGCCCCGCGACCCUCCCCUCCCCGGCUAAGUAGGAGGUUCGAGGGCAGCGACUAAGGAAGGAGCACAUCGGCGAUGAGGGCUAGCAAUAGCAAGACAAUUGCCAGGUGCAGUCGAUAUGCCGCCACGUCGGCCCUUCACGCGCGCCCGCCAGGGUCGGGACCUUUUUCAGAGCAAUGCGUAGUGUUUCCUUUAUUGUUGUUGUUUGUGAUGUCCUUGAUAUUCCUUUGCCAUAUGAUUUUUGAUCAUUUUCUCGCUCAUUCCUAGAGGAGCGCUAUGGAUAAUAUGAUUGAGAUGACUAAGAUACAUGCUUUUUGUUUACUUGGCAUCUGCUUCUCUUAAUUUUUCUACAACCCUUCCUUUACAUGCUGGUAUGUUUUGUUGCCAGGCUCAGAUCGGCGAGACCCGUGCCAAUGCACGAGGUACAAUAUUGGUUAAUUUUCCAUCUCCAAUCAGAUUAAUGGUUUGCAUGCAGACCAAGCCCAGUGUUUUAUGGUGUUCUUAUUCCUGAUUUAGUUGUACAUUUGACUUUUAGUUUCUUCAUAGAUAAUAAAGUAGUGGCAGAUGAACCAGUAAGUUAUCUGUGCCCAUUCUUUGCUGUAAGCAUUAAAUUUGCUCUCUGCUUUUACUUUCAAUGUGUUAUCCGUACCCCUGUUUUUUGUGGCUAAUUAUUAUGGUGUUCUUAUUCCUGAUUUAGUUGUACAUUUGACUUUUAGUUUCUUCAUAGAUAAUAAAGUAGUGGCAGAUGAACCAGUAAGUUAUCUGUGCCCAUUCUUUGCUGUAAGCAUUAAAUUUGCUCUCUGCUUUUACUUUCAAUGUGUUAUCCGUACCCCUGUUUUUUGUGGCUAAUUAUUAUGUCCUAUCAACAUAUGCAGAGUCCAUGGUAUCAUACGAUUUGAAGUUGAAAAAAUCAUGCUAUGGGUGAUACGGAAAAGUCAUUGCCUUCUUUGCUGGAACAUUUCCUAAGAUGAUCUAAGGUGAAGCAUUUAUGAAUAUCCUCGCUGAUCUAUGGAUCUAUCAUUGUAAGAGUCGAUAAUAUAUGGUGAGCUGCCUCACACCAUCAUUUGGUCUUUGUAGCAUUUGAGUUGGCAAAUUUGUUGGAUUCAUGCGAUUAGGCAUGCCAUGUAAAUCAAUCUGCAAUGGGAAAUGGGAGUUUGCAAACUACCGGAGUCUAAUUGCUGAGGGACGAGGUUCGUAACUGAGGGUCAUGUGCAGAGCUGGAGGAAGAAGUUGCGAGGCUUGGAACUCUCCUUGUGAAGGGCUCAGGGACAACAGUGAGGACAAUGCCUCUUUAGUUGUAAUUGUGAUACUCCUGAUGUGCAAGUAAACAUUCCUGUGAUACUGCUUAUGCUAAAAUGUUGGUUGUUAGUACAGAGGUGGUGACAUUAUUUGGUUCUCUGAUAUUGAUUUCAUGAUUUGUAAUAUAAUCCACAUUGCAUUAUC